GUCCGUGAAGAACUGCAUCUGGCAAAUGAUGCUUUUAUACGUAUGUUUAUGCACAUCAUAUGAUAUCCAGUGUCCUCAUUCUUCACAAUGGAAUGUAAAAGCUCUACAUGAUUGCAAUGCCACAUCACAGUAUUAUUGUUUGUUUGAUGAAAACAGACUCAAGUACACAGAAUUUUGUAGAGAAAAUCAAGAUUUUGAAGGACCAGGAUUCAAGCUGGUACUUCGUGGUGGUUUAGAUGGGAAAUUGUGCGCCUCUUACCGAUAUCAGCCAUUUAUAUUUUGGACAAACGGAAGCAGUCAAUGCACAUUUCAAAAGUCGUUAUGCAG